rnacentral:rRNA from 1 species
GACGAACGCUGGCGGCGCGCCUAACACAUGCAAGUCGAACGGAGUCAAGAGGAGCUUGCUUUUCUUGACUUAGUGGCGAACGGGUGAGUAACGCGUGAGUAACCUGCCCUGGAGUGGGGGACAACAGUUGGAAACGACUGCUAAUACCGCAUAAGCCCACGGAUCUGCAUGGAUCUGCGGGAAAAGGAUUUAUUCGCUCUAGGAUGGACUCGCGUCCAAUUAGCUAGUUGGUGAGGUAACGGCCCACCAAGGCGACGAUUGGUAGCCGGACUGAGAGGUUGAACGGCCACAUUGGGACUGAGACACGGCCCAGACUCCUACGGGAGGCAGCAGUGGGGGAUAUUGCACAAUGGGGGAAACCCUGAUGCAGCGACGCCGCGUGGAGGAAGAAGGUUUUCGGAUUGUAAACUCCUGUCGUGAGGGACGAUAAUGACGGUACCUAACAAGAAAGCACCAGCUAACUACGUG